rfam:Myotis lucifugus cont2.18996, whole genome shotgun sequence.
GGUGGUUCUCGAGUGACGCAGCCUGGAAUCGGGCUCCCUCCUCUCUGGUUCCAGUGUGCGUCACCCGAGAACCGCC